AAAUCAGUUAUCGUUUAUUUGAUAGUACCUUACUACUUGGAUAACCGUGGUAAUUCUAGAGCUAAUACAUGCUGAAAACCCUGACUUCGGAAAGGGUGUAUUUAUUAGAUAAAAAACCAAUGCCCUUUGGGCUCUUUGGUGAUUCAUGAUAACUUAACGGAUCGCAUGGCCUUGCGCCGGCGACGGUUCAUUCAAAUUUCUGCCCUAUCAACUUUCGAUGGUAAGGUAUUGGCUUACCAUGGUUUCAACGGGUAACGGGGAAUUAGGGUUCGAUUCCGGAGAGGGAGCCUGAGAAACGGCUACCACAUCCAAGGAAGGCAGCAGGCGCGCAAAUUACCCAAUCCCGACACGGGGAGGUAGUGACAAUAAAUACUGAUACAGGGCUCUUUUGGGUCUUGUAAUCGGAAUGAGUACAAUUUAAACCUCUUAACGAGGAACAAUUGGAGGGCAAGUCUGGUGCCAGCAGCCGCGGUAAUUCCAGCUCCAAUAGCGUAUAUUAAAGUUGUUGCAGUUAAAAAGCUCGUAGUUGAAUCUUGGGCCUGGCUGGCCGGUCCGCCUCACCGCGUGUACUGGUCUGGCCGGGCCUUUCCUUCUGGAGAACCUCAUGCCCUUCAGUGGGUGUGUUGGGGAACCAGGACUUUUACUUUGAAAAAAUUAGAGUGUUCAAAGCAGGCCUUUGCUCGAAUACGUUAGCAUGGAAUAAUAGAAUAGGACGUGCGGUCCUAUUUUGUUGGUUUCUAGGACCGCCGUAAUGAUUAAUAGGGAUAGUCGGGGGCAUCAGUAUUCAAUUGUCAGAGGUGAAAUUCUUGGAUUUAUUGAAGACUAACUACUGCGAAAGCAUUUGCCAAGGAUGUUUUCAUUAAUCAGUGAACGAAAGUUAGGGGAUCGAAGACGAUCAGAUACCGUCGUAGUCUUAACCGUAAACUAUGCCGACUAGGGAUCGGGCGAUGUUUUUAUCUUGACUCGCUCGGCACCUUACGAGAAAUCAAAGUUUUUGGG
rnacentral:rRNA from 1 species